AUCAACGCUGGCGGCGUGCCUAACGCAUGCAAGUCGAGCGGGCGCACCUUUCGGGGUGCGUCAGCGGCGGACGGGUGAGGAACGCGUGACUAACCUGCCCUGAAGUGGGGGACAACCCCGGGAAACCGGAGCUGAUACCGCAUAUGUUUGCCCCUUUGUCGGGAGGGUAAGCAAAGCCGCAAGGCGCUUCAGGAGGGGGUUGCGUCCGAUUAGCCUGUUGGCGGGGUGACGGCCCACCAAGGCGACGAUCGGUAGCUGGUCUGAGAGGAUGAUCAGCCACAGGGGAACUGAGACACGGUCCCCACACCUACGGGUGGCAGCAGCGAGGGAUUUUCGGCAAUGGGCGCAAGCCUGACCGAGCAACGCCGCGUGCGGGACGACGCCCUUCGGGGUGUAAACCGCUUUUCCCGGGGACGAGGAUGACGGUACCCGGGGAAUAAGCCUCGGCUAACUACGUGCCAGCAGCCGCGGUAAGACGUAGGAGGCGAGCGUUGUCCGGAGUUACUGGGCGUAAAGCGCGCGCAGGCGGCCCUGUACGCUGCCGGUGAAAGCUCCCGGCUUACCUGGGAGAGGUUCGGCAGUACGGCAGGGCUGGAGGGUGGGAGAGGUCGGUGGAAUUCCCGGUGUAGUGGUGAAAUGCGUAGAGAUCGGGAGGAACACCCGUAGCGAAGGCGGCCGACUGGACCACGCCUGACGCUGAGGCGCGAAGGCCAGGGGAGCGAACGGGAUUAGAUACCCCGGUAGUCCUGGCAGUAAACGAUGUCGACUGGUCGUCGGGGGGCUCGACCCCCUCGGCGGCGGAGCUAACGCGGGAAGUCGACCGCCUGGGGAGUACGGCCGCAAGGCUAAAACUCAAAGGAAUUGACGGGGGCCCGCACAAGCAGCGGAGCGUGCGGUUCAAUUCGACGCAACGCGCAGAACCUUACCAGGUCUUGACAUGGGGCUGCAAGCGCACGGAAACGUGUGACCUUCGAGGGUGCCCCACAGGUGCUGCAUGGCUGUCGUCAGCUCGUGCCGUGAGGUGUUGGGUUAAGUCCCGCAACGAGCGCAACCCCUGGGGCCAGUUAGAGCGUCACUGGCCCGACCGCCGGCUUGCUGCCGGAGGAAGGCGGGGAUGAUGUCAAGUCCGCAUGGCCCUUACGACCUGGGCGACACGCACGCUACAAUGGCCGGCACAAUGGGCCGCGAAGCCGCGAGGUGGAGCCAAUCCCCAAAGCCGGUCCCAGUUCGGAUCGGGGGCUGCAACCCGCCCCCGUGAAGUCGGAGUUGCUAGUAACCGUGGGUCAGCCAUACCGCGGUGAAUCUGUUCCCGGGCCUUGUACACACCGCCCGUCACGUCAUGGGAGCCGGCAACACCUGAAGUCCGUGGGCUAACCGCGAGGGGGCAGCGGCCGAGGGUGGGGCGGGUGACUGGGACG
rnacentral:rRNA from 1 species